UUUAAAAUAAAUACCUACCAUCAAGUCUAAUAUUUUAAUAAUUAUAUUCUACGAUUCUUGAGACAGUACAUAAAGCUCACAAUAAUUUUCAAAAUGUUCCUACAUAUCUCACCGACAUUCUACAUAAAAACACAGAACUACAUAUAUAUAUAUGCUCUGAAAUGUCAAAGUGAAAACUUUAGUCAUUAUCUGUGAGUUGUGACCAGGGCAAUGUUUAUGAUGUCAACGUUACGUUGAACAAUUGAACGUGUUAAAAAAAUAAAAAUUGGUGAGUAGGUAUAUUAUAACCUUUAUUGGCGUAAAAUAAUAAUGACAUUUGAGGAACUGUGCAUGGAUAUUGUGAAUAAGAGGUGAAAGAAUGAAGUGAUCCAAUUUUAUUUUCAAAUUAUGUGUAAAUAAACUGUUAUCCUUAGCUAAUAAAAAACUCGGUAUUCAUCUAACACAAUUGAAGCAAUUGCCAUUGGAUUCAGAAUAUACUGGCAAUGAGAAAUGAUAUUACCUUAAACUUAAUAUGUUAAGAUGAGUCAUAAUAAAAUUGAAUAUCCUUAUUAUUAAUCAAAAUUAUGUCUUUAACUAUACAACACAGUAUUAAUCUCAAACAAUUGAUGCAAUAUCCACUGGACUCAGAGAGUAAUAGCAAUAAUGGAUGAUAUUACCUUAUACAUAAAAUGUGGAGAAAAGUCAUUUGAAAAAUUAAUAUGCUUAUAAUUGAUCAAAAUUAUAUCUAUAAAUAUACAACACAGUAUUAAACUCAAACAAUUGAUGCAGUAUCCACUGGAUUCAGAGUGUAACAGCAAUGGUGGAUGAUAUUACCUUAUACAUAAAAUGUGGAGAAAAGUCAUUUGAAAAAUUAAUAUGCUUAUAAUUGAUCAAAAUUAUAUGUAAAUAUAGUGUUUAACGCAUUAUUCUGCUAAUAAAAAACUCACUAUUAAUCUUACACAUUUGAAACAUUAUCCAUUACAAUAACAUAACAAUGGAGACCACAUAUAAUAUAAUUUAAAAA